CUCGGCUUGGCAGGGACAAUGGGGGGGAGGGAAGGGGGGAGAUAAGGGGCUGGCUGAGGGACCGUGGCGGGGAGCAGAGCCCUCUGGGGUGUCUGGGCCCCCCACACGCCCUGUGUGCUGGGCCUGGUCCCUGCCCCACUUCCCGCUGGGCCUGCAUGGCUAACACGCCCUCCCCCUCGUAGGGCGACAGGGGCUUCGAGGGGCUGCCGGGGCUGCCGGGCGAGAAGGGUCUCAAGGUAAGUGUGAGCCCCCCCCCGGCCCCCUGGGGCAGGUGUGAGCCCCCUGCCCCAGUCCCACAAGCUUCACCUCUCACUCUCUCUCCUGCAGGGGGACGUGGGGAAGCCGGGGCCCCCGGGCCCCCCAGGAGAGAAUGGAGCCAAGGGCUUGGGCGGCCUGCCAGGACCCAGGGGGCAGCCUGGGGAACCCGGUGUGCGCGGCUUGGUCGGCUCCCGUGGCCCCCCUGGCCCCCCAGGACAGCCGGUAGGAGCCCUGUCUAUGUGCCCCCCAUGUGUUUGCUGCCCCCCACUGAUGCUCUCCCCUUCCCCCGCAGGGCGUGAGUGGCAUGGACGGCGCGCCUGGGCCCAAGGGCAACGUGGGAAUCCAGGGGGAGCCGGGCCCCCCCGGCCAGCAGGGGACCCCAGGACCCCAGGGCCUGCAUGGCCCCCAAGGGCCCGUCGGGAUGCCGGGAGGGAAGGGCCCGCCUGGGAAGCGGGGCAUGCAGGGCGUGGCUGGUGCCGAUGGCCCCCCCGGCACAGCUGGCGCCGUGGGACCCGUUGGUUACCCAGGCCCCCGUGGGGUCAAGGUGGGUACGGCCAGGCCCCAGUGAAGGGACCCUCCCUCCCCU
rnacentral:lncRNA from 1 species